CUGGGGCUAAGAUGUCACACCUACCCAGGCCACAUGAACUAUGAACACGGCAGGGGAUAGCUUACCAAAUUUAAAUGAAUGUCUGACAUCAGAGGAAGGGUAAAAGAUGGUAUGAAGCCAAAAAAAGCAGAUGUUCAAGAGAUUACCCUGGGAGACUGCACCUGGGAACCCCCGUUCACUGCACAAAGACACCCAAAGGCCCAGGCAAAGGCCAUCCAAAGUGACAUCAGAGGAUGGACUGAAGGAAGCCUUCCAGGUAGAAGAUCUGACUUUGAGAAUGGUAGAUACACUUCACUGGGGCUCAGAUGUUGGACCCAACUCAUUGAUGGUGGCUUCUUAGAGCACUGAACCGAAAUGGACUGUGACAUUGAAUAUAAGUUCAAA